GAUGAAGACCCAGACCGUGCAACAUUUUGGUCUUGCUUUGCGAGGAAGCUAACCGCAACGGAGAAAAAUGUCAUGACCGACCUCAAGAACGUUUUCUUCCGAAGAUCCCAGAAGCAGCUCAACUAUCAGUGGCUUUGCGACCAGCUAUCAAUGCCAGCAAGGCGACGCCAGCAAAUGGCUGCCUUCCUGGUGCAGAAGUUUAGGAGUGCACAGAGGGCAGCAAAGGUGAACGAACAUUUGGCUUCGUGCGGGCGAACAGUCUACCAAGUCUGAUGAACUGAAAAGUGGUGCCGAAGGUUCGCCGAUUUGCAU